CAAGUACGUUUUGAAUAAAGAACAAGUGUGUGUUGCUGCUUAGCUAGCUAAUGCAUUUAUAUAGUAACCUCAACCCGACUGUUUAAUUCACUCCUGAAUCAAUCGCAUGAUCAACCUAACGAGAUGAAAGCUUUCCAUGUCAAGUCUCAACUACUCAACUCAUGUAAAUCUGCUGAGUGUGACAGCGCCAUUCAUUCUUCCUCAGCCUCACACAUGUAAAAUCUGCCAGCCAUUCACUCUCUCUUUCUCCCUUUUUGCCUACCUGUUCCUUUCUCUCUUCCUCGUUGGAGCGAAACAGCAGCAGCAGCCUCUGUUUUUUCCGUUUCUUCUCUUCCACCGUGACUACCACCGGUGGAGCAAGAUUCUAAACAGAUUACAAGUAAGACAGUUGUUGCCCAAGGCUGGGUGAUUGAAGCAGAGGAUAUAUACGGUUCGUAUUUGUUUUUGUGCCUGUGAGGCAUAAGCUCCUCCACCGGUUGCUGCUUCGGAUUGUGAGAGAGAAUAAUUACUGUGCUUUGGGUGGUUUAGGGUUUAGAGUUAUCUCUCAAGGAAUGAGCUUUUCCUCUGUAAAGGGUCUGAUUCUCAAUUUCUAACCAUCAAAUUCUGCGGCAAAGUGCGGGCAACUUUUCUAGUUCUCUACUCCAAAGUUCCAACCCUUAUGAACAGUAAACUCUUAUGAAUAGUGCACUGACUUUCUUGCCCCUGCUAUUUGCGUCGAAUUGCCAUUAGUUACCUGCCGUUUGUCCUCAUCACACCGCUUCGAAGAUUUUCGGUUUAUAUCAGCUUUCGUUUCUCAGUUUUGAUGGUGUUGUUGGAUGAUUUGAGUGAUUGAGAAGUAAUCGCUCCGUGUGACGAGAUUGAUUUGUUGCCAGUUCAGCAGCUUCCGACGAUUUAGACCAACUGCUUGAUAGUGCUUUAGAUGACUUCCAGAAAUAUCAACCUCAGCAAACCCUCCCUUGAAGGGUUCCAUCUUUUUCUUCAAAGCUUUAAGCUUUACUGUUCAAUUAAGAAUUUCAUAAGUUUCUGUGUUAUGUAGGGUUCAGAACAGAAUUUUAGCAUAUAGAACAGUGCGUUGAAAAGGACCAACAUCAGGACUUCUUAGCCUUUCAUAUCCAUUUUACUCUUCUUCUGAAUCGAUGAAAUGAGUAGCAAAA